UACGUAGGGUCCGAGCGUUGUCCGGAAUUAUUGGGCGUAAAGAGCUCGUAGGCGGUCUGUCGCGUCGGCUGUGAAAGCCUGGGGCUCAACUCCAGGCCUGCAGUCGAUACGGGCAGACUAGAGUUCGGUAGGGGAGACUGGAAUUCCUGGUGUAGCGGUGAAAUGCGCAGAUAUCAGGAGGAACACCGGUGGCGAAGGCGGGUCUCUGGGCCGAAACUGACGCUGAGGAGCGAAAGCGUGGGGAGCGAACAGG
rnacentral:rRNA from 1 species